rnacentral:rRNA from 1 species
CAAAGAACUUUGAAGAGAGAGUUUAACAGGGCGUGAAACCGCGCGGAGAGAAGCAAACGGAGCUGUAUUGUCGGUACUGGACAUGCCUAAGUCACUUACGUGAUGAAGGAUCACGUGACUAGUAUCGAGCGCUGCGACAAAGUGAGCAUAGGAACUCAGUGAACUGCCGUCUACUUAAUUGUAGUCACCCGUUUACUUGUGUGUUCCUUAGGCAAAGCACUUUUGACUACUGUGUAAACUUGUUUUCUAGUUCAGCUACGGUCUCAUAUCGAGUUUAUUCGUGAACUCACGAUUGUUGAGGCCGCUAGCAAGACUAGGGAUGAGUACGCAAGAGUUGGUAGCGUAAGACAGCCACCCGUUUGACCCGUCUUGAAACACGGACCAAGAAGUCUAACAUGUACGCGAGUCAAUGAGCGGUAAACUCAACGGCGGAAUGAAAGUAAACGUCAGCUUGUCUGACGGAGGUGAGAUCUGUGUAACAGCAGCGCAUCACCGCCCCGCACUAUAGAUUUUAUUCUUUGUGUGGAGGUAUAGCGUACAUGUUGGGACCCGAAAGAUGGUGAACUAUGCUUGAGCAGGAUGAAGCCAGAGGAAACUCUGGUGGAAGUCCGCCGCGGUUCUGACGUGCAAAUCGAUCGUCAGACUUGAGUAUAGGGGCGAAAGACUAAUCGAACCAUC